ACUGUGGAGAGCUCAAAGUCACAAAACCUUCCCUUUCCCCUCCUAGUCUCCCUUAAACAUAUAAUUGAUUUAUUCAGGCUCUGUGCUAUUCAUGUGUAUGUAUAAUAAUAUCUUAGCUCUUCUACAUAACUUGCUCCUCCUCAAAAAGGGUUUUGUAUGAAGCUCAAUGUGAAAGGGAUUAGAAUAUACUGCAAUUGAGCAGAAUUAUUUAUUUCUUGAGUUCAUUUAACAUUUUCUCCUAUAGGGUGGCCAACAAACAUGCUCAAGCCCAAGCUAUCAUUUCCGUUCAAAUUGAUCCUACACUCGAACUUGGCCAGAAGGAGAAGAAAGGUAUGAUCUCCAAUUUAGCCAAGAAAAGGUAAAAUGUAUCAAAAAUUCCAAUAUAAUGUGCUUUUACAUAAUACACCAUUUUCAUUCUCUCUUAAUUCGUACGCAAGUAUUCUGAGAGAUUCGUACUUUUACGUUAUUAUAUAUGUUAUCGCUCUUCCAUCGAUAACAUGAUCCCAAAACCUUCGUCAAUGUAUUUAGGAAAGAUAGUAAUGUACCCCGGACACAUACCGUGAAAUCAGUACAUAGAUUUUAUAUCUGUACAUGUUGAUAGUAUUUAACUGAGAUCACUCUUUGAAAUGUGUAUCGAAAUUAUUAUUGUCAUUGAAUUCCUAGAAAAUGCACAUUUUCCUACACCUACCAUACUGAAACUGUAGACCCAGAAGAACUUCAGGACCAUACUUAAAGAUCAUUUUCCUACACCUACCGUACUGAAACUAUAGACCCAGAAGAACUGUGAGGACUAUACUUGAAGAUCAUUUGGAGUGAAGCUGAUUAGAGGUGAAACUAAGAAUCUGACCAACAUGGCAACGUGCGCUCGUACUUUCCAUUCAGAAAUUAUUGUGUACUUCUGAGAGUAUAAAUGGCUUUAAAGUACUCUCUCUGCAUUUGAUUUCUGUAUUUUUACUUUUGUGAAAAAAAGAAGUCUGAUGGGUCCUGAAUAGUUAUCGUCCUUGCAAGGCCAGUUGAUGAGCAGACUGCAAAUGAUGUAAAUUUCUUGGCUGCUAGUUAUUGUUGUCUCUUAGAUUCAG